GACGAACCGUGCGAACGUUGUUCGGAAUCACUGGGCUUAAAGGGCGCGUAGGCGGUCUGCCAAGUCUGGGGUGAAAUCCUUCGGCUCAACCGAAGAACGGCCUCGGAUACUGGCGGUCUCGAGGGAGGUAGGGGCGUGCGGAACUAAGGGUGGAGCGGUGAAAUGCGUUGAUAUCCUUAGGAACUCCGGUGGCGAAGGCGGCACGCUGGACCUCUUCUGACGCUGAGGCGCGAAAGCCAGGGGAGCAAACGGG
rnacentral:rRNA from 1 species